UACAAGAAUAAUCAUAAUCAAUUACUCAUGUCAUCAUGUGUGUAACCUUAAUUUGUCCAUAAGAGUAACCCCAAUAUAUUAUACGAGCAACAUCAAUUAAUUAAAGAAAAAUAAGUAGCCCCAUUGGUUCAUCCAAGUAACCCGGCCUCUCUCCUUUUAUUUUUACUAUUAAAAGAAAAACUAUACUUGUUUAUAAGAGUAAUCCCUUUUUCCAUUACUGAAAACUCUUAUACAUUAAAAUAACCCCAUUUGAUCAUCGUUGUAACCCCCAUUUCUUAAUUAAUUGCUUCUAUGUAAAGUAGCAUAACAUUUGCCAACGCACAAUUUUAGCAUUUAGUAUCUCUAAUUAAGCAUUGUAAAAUUAUAAAAAGUGAAUAUUAAAAAAAAUUCAAACAAAAUUAUACAUGAUUAUGUUUUGUCGCAAUUAUAAAUCACAAAAAGUAAUCAAAGUGUAAUUAUAUAUAGUACAAAAAGUAUACCAACCAAAAAUACAAGAGAAUUUGUGACUUUGGACGGUGAGACUCUGAAAACAUAAUAACUAUAGAAGUCGAAAAUAUAUUCAGUAGACAUAAUCAUAUUCGUACAUAUUUCAGAUACUCAGAUGUCACCCUACGAGAGAAAAACCAAGAAAUUUGGUAAAUAACUCAUGAAGAAAAUUUAAUGCUUACAUCAUAAAUAUCUCUAUUUAUGUUCGAUAAUUUUCUCAAGUACUAGAUCGGAGAUCCUGCCGUAGUGCCACACCAUACGAAUACAUUUUUAUUUUUUUUUGGGUCUAAUGUCGACUGCCUUGGUCUUGGUCCCUUUUUUUUUCUUUUUCUUUUUUUUUUUUUUUUGUGUCACAUAAUUGUGCUACUUGUAAUAAUGAUCUUAAAUUUAUGGCCAUGGAAAAAGGAAAUAAACUUGAAUUUAUGAGGGUAAUCUCACUGAGGUAAAAUUUAUAAAGGCUCCCUUUUUCAUAAGGAGAGCCUGUUUUGUACACCCGGGUGUACCUUCUUCUAAGUACACCCGGAGGUAUAUUCGUAAGUUUAGAUUAGUUUGCCUGGUUAGACUUUCUUCUUCUCUUAUAUCGAUCAAUUUUCCCCCUUUCCAUAACUAUGAGAGCGGUAGGAGAUUCAAGCGACAUCGUUCCUGUUGCCAUUGGCGAAGUUUCCGUUAACAUUUGAUGUUCCAACGGCUCCAAAUUUUCAGUCAAAACUACGCUUGAUUCCAACAUCAACGCUUUCAAAUUGCUUGUUAUUGAUUGCGCAAAACUGUGAUGUUCCUGCCGAGCAGCAGAGGUUGAUCUACAAAGGUCAGAUUAUGAAAGAUGACCAAACCCUAGAAAGCUAUGCUAAAGCUGGAGCUGGAGAAGCAAAUUUGAUGAUAAUGAUGUUGAAUCAAAUUACAAAGAAGAGGAAGACGAUAUGGGUUCUUCAAGUUUCGUAGAGCUAUUCGCAAUACCAUUGAUGACGACGACAAUGAUUCAAAUAUUGUUUUGCUCAUUUAAUCAACAAAUGAGCAAUAAUUUUUGCUCAUUUAAUAAAUGACCAAUAAUUAUUUGCUCAUUUGUUGAUUAAAUGAGCAAAUGACCCGGGUGUACGAUACACCCGGGUGUAUAUAACAAAUUCUAUUUGGUAAGUAAUGUGCUAUAAAUAGAGUUCAUUUCUUCAAAAAAGUUAAGAUUGUGCUUUAUUUUUUAUGGCCUAGUAUAAUUUUUUAAGUGUACAGAGAGUCACAAAAGAUAUUGAUGUAUACGGAAUUUAAUUUCAUAUCUUAUUAUACAGUACUAAAUGAUACAUACUCCAUGUAAAAGAUUGAUGAAAUUAUUGUUAAAGCUAGCUACAUAAUUACAAAAUACUUAUAUAGAGUAAAUUUUUUGUUUCCAGUAUUAGUAAAUUCAAAUUAUUUUCUUACUCUAUUUCCAAAUAAGAUGAGUGUUUCUCUAAACUUGUACACAUAUGUACAUUACCUUACCCUAACCUUUCCAUUCAUUCUCAAAUAAUCUUUAUUGCGUUGACUAGUGAGAGGCUCUGACCUAGUUGGGCCAUCCUUUCCCUUACCUACCCCCAAAAAAAUUGUUACUUAGCUUUGUUAAUUUUAAUAUUGAUAAAAUCAAUGAGAGCAGAAAUUAAUUAGAUUAAAUAUAAUAAAUGUGAGAGUAAUGUAAUGGACUUUCGAACACUAGUAGCAUGGGACAAACUCAAUUUUUUUUUUUUAAAAAAAAUAAAUAAAUAAAUAAAUAAAUAAAACGACUCCACACAAGAAAAAUGGAAUAGAAUUCAAGGACGGGUACAGCAGUAAUAAGUUAUGCAACAUACACUAAGGUCCAAAGUCACUGGCUUAUAAAUUCUCCAUCAACACGGCCCCCCGGAUAGGCGUUGUACAAGACACACCUCGAUUUGUUGGCACCUUAUUGUAUCCUUAUUAUGUUUCCUUCAUUCUUUACUAAAGCUUCCAAUCUUUUUAUGAAUUAAUUAAGAAUUUGACUGUCUUCCAAAAAAUAAAAAUAAAAUAAAAUAAAAUAAAAAAGGAAUUUGACUCAACGAUAUUUUAACAAUUGGCAAACUGGCAAAGACAACACUAAUAUUGGAUACUCUUAUUAUUGAUGGUAAAGUUACCGUUGGACAUAAUAAUAGCUUUUGUUAUCUUGUGUUAAUUAAAAUAACUAUGAAUAUAUUAAAUAUUUUUAGCAGUUUCGUCACCUAUUAAAUUAAAUAAAACCAUAUAAAAAUUGAGUUAAUAUGAGAAAUGUGAAUUCUUAAGAAAAAUUUCAUGAUUUAAGAAUAAUGGUAAAGGCAUUAUUAUUUGUAUCCAAAAAAAAAAAAAAAAAAAAUUAUAUGCAUGUCUUUGAUUUCAAGAAAAAUAGUUUUUUAGGUCCGGGAGUAGCCCCGGGUCAAUUUAUUUUCACCUUAUAAAUUUUUAUUUUGAAAAAAAAAAAAAAAAGCAUCCAAAUAUUUAUGGUUUAGAUAUUGAUGUUAUAAUAUUGAGGGCAUGAGAGAUCAAAUCUUUUAAAAAUCAUGUUAUAAUUUCUUUGAUUGAUUGUGGGUGACAUGAAUUAUAAAAACGCUUUUUAAUAUAUUAGUAUAUAGAUUAAAGGGAUUAAUCAUAUAAUCUUUUGAACAAAUUAAAAUAGCUAGCUAGUUUGAGUAUUAUAUUAUUAUAUACAGUUUGAAUAGGUAAUUUUAGUCCCUCUGUUGUGUUUGUAUUGAACCUUUUAAUAUUCGCUAUAGGUAUAUACGUAUAGUACUUAGAUUAGUGCUCCUUUAUUUCUUUCCAACAAAUAACUGUGUAAGUAAUACAAAAAAUUAAAAGUGCAUUCAUCUAUUAUAAAAAAAAGAGAAGAAUAAAGAUGAAAAAAAUAAAAAGUUUGAGCCUAGUUUAAGUCACUGCCCAAUUAUUGGUAUAAUGAUAUCAAUACCCUUCUCAAGAAUCAUGUUUAUCAUGAUCAAACUCAUUACUACUAAACUAGCACAUAAUCAUUGUCACUGUAUAACCAGUACAGAUUAUUUAUCCUUAAUUUACUCUGGAUGUGCAUGUUUGUCAUUAUAAUAUUACUAUGUAUGGUAUAUCAUACUUGUAAUUAAUAAAGAUUGGUAAUUCUUUUCUAAUCUUUAGAUCCCGCUUUUCAGGCCAUUUUCUCUCUAAAGGGCAUCCCUAACUUGAUUGUCGAAGGGCCAUUUCCGAGAUCACCCCAAGGCAUCGUACUCUUAGGUCUUUUAGUUUUGUAGGCUCUCGGGCACACUUGAAUUGGAAGAAUAACUCUCAACCACUCCAGUCAAAACGACACCACACCAAUAUAUAUGGCAAUAUAUGUAAGAUCGUCAUCCCAAAUUAAAGUACCCCUCAUACUAUUAAUUUAAGAAUGAAUAUUCUAGCUGUUUCGAAAAUAUAAACCAUUACAAGUCUAACAACUAGGUUUGGGAAUGGAGAGGACUAAUUGAACAACAUACUGUAUUAAAGGUCAAGCAAAUUAAAGUAUACUCACAUAAUCUAUCUAGCCAUAA